GAUGAAGAACGCAGCGAAAUGCGAUACGUAAUGUGAAUUGCAGAAUUCAGUGAAUCAUCGAAUCUUUGAACGCAUAUUGCGCUCUCUGGUAUUCCGGAGAGCAUGCUUGUUUGAGUAUCAGUAAACACCUCAACUCCCUUUUCUUUUUUGAAAUUGGAGCUGGACUUGAGUGAUCCCAACGCUUUCUUCCAAGAAAGUGGCGGGUUGCUUGAAAUGCAGGUGCAGCUGAACUUUUCUCUGAGCUAUAAGCAUAGCUAUUUAGUCUGCCUAAAAAACAGAUUAUUACCUUUGCUGCAGCUAACAUAAAGGAGACUAGUUCUUGUGCUGACUGAUGCAGGAUUCACAGAGACAGCUUCGGCUGACUUUGUAAACUCGAUCUCAAAUCAAGUAAGACUACCCGCUGAACUUAAGCAUAUCAAUAAGCGGAGGA
rnacentral:misc_RNA from 1 species